rnacentral:lncRNA from 1 species
GGUUUCGCCAUGUUGGCCAGCCUGGUUUCGAACUCCUAAUCUCAGGUGAUGUGCCCAUCUUGGCCUCCCAAAGUGCUGGGAUUACAGCAAAAUAACUUUUAAGGGGUUAAAAAAAGCUUAGUUUCAAUGAGACUUAAUGUUAAAAUAAUUCAUGGUUUUCUACUCCCAAUUAAGCAAAUGCUAAUUUGUAUGAAGUAUGGCAAUACCUUCAACGAAUUCUUUUCUUAUAUUUUUCAGUUUCCUCCUCCUCCUGGAAACGUUUUCUACUCUGCCCAGCUCAAAAGCCACCCUCUCCUUUGCCAGCCUUUGCCCACCUGGGCCUCCUUCCCAGACACCUAGAGUUGGACAUUCGUCACUCCUGCCCUCACACAGACCUCAGACCCUGGGAGGCAUCACUGACCUCUUUCCUCAGAUGUCCUCUGGGGUCAGCUUAGUGCUCCAGGACACAAAGGGGACUCAGCACCUGUUACUGAGUUGACUGUAUGCAUUUGCCAUAGCUGACAGUACAGAAGGCUUAUGAAAAUAAAACCUGUUUUUCAUGGCACAAUAAACUAAGCAUUUUUUAAAAUAAGUAGGCCAGUAGGUCAAGAAUUCUAUAACUCAAAAAAAUAAACUUACCCAAAGUAGCCUUAAGGCUCCAUUAGAAAUAGAGGCUGAAUGAUUAUUAUUAUUAUUAUUAUUAUUAUUAUUUUUUUUUUUUUGAGACAGAGUCUCGCUCUGUUGCCAGGGUGGAGUGCAGUGGCUUGAUCUCGGCUCACUGCAACCUCCACCUCCCGGGUUCAAGCGAUUCUCCUGCCUCAGCUUCCCAAGUAGCUGGGACUACAGGCGUGCGCCACCACGCCCAGCUAAUUUUUUAGAGACGGGGUUUCACCAUGUUGGCCAGGCUGGUCUCGAACUCCUGAGUUUGUGACCCACCCGCCUCGGCCUCCCAAAGUGCUGGGAUUACAGGCAUGAGCCACUACGCCCAGCUCUGCCUCCUUUCUUUAGAGGCAGCUGAAAAUCAGAGUGGACUGGCUGGAAGUUUCCAG